AGAACGUAUUGAACCAAAACCGAAACAACGAAAAACCAAACUAGAAUUGUACAGAAGUUUUGAUUCGAUUCUAAUUCCUAAGUAGGCCUCGAACUAAACCAAAAUCGCACACUCUUGUUAAUAACAUUAUAAUAAUUGGAAAAUACCAAAAAAAAAGAGCUUCUUUUUGUUUAGUUUAAAUUCAAAUAAUGCUAGAUAAAUUACAUAUUAGUUUGAACUUAUACAAGUGAUUGAGUAAUUUUAUACAUCAAAAUGAUUAGUCAAUUUAAUAUUACAAUCAAACUACUUAUUUAUUGCUCUUUUACUUUAUAUUCUUUCAAUGUGGGAUU
rnacentral:misc_RNA from 1 species